AUGAAUCCAUAGAGUUGAAUCCGUUUGAUACGUAUCUGCUGUUUUUGGUCAACGACUGGCUGCAGUGAAAAGGGCCAGCAUAUUUGUAGUGUUUACAACAUCCUGGUAUGGAAUGGAAAUAAUAGGACUCCUACACUUGGUGGUUCUCUGCCAGUUUCUUUCAGUGCAAAUGAUCCAGUUCUGUUAUUCGUUUCAAAAGAAAGGCCACAGCUGCACCCUUCUCUCCCAGAAAUACUCUGUUUGGACCCCUGACAGUCAAUUAACAAAGGC